CUAACUUGACCACGACUCACGCAACACGUGACCCCUGAACUCCCUGACGUGAUGACGUAGGACGUCGCAGACUGUAGCGACAACAGGUGUGACAGGUGGCGACAAAAAGACACGAUUAAGAAACGAAUAAAAAACUGAAGAUUAAGAAAAGAAUAAGGAGAGAAAAGCUGACGAAGCCACAAUUGAAAAAGAAACGUUUCAUGCAAUGUGUUUACAACAAGAAGAUUAGAAGUUGAGGUAAUGAGACAGGAGCAGCAGCAGCCAGGGGACCAGUGUCGUGUUCUGGUGGUGAAGAAGAUGGAGAACCAAACAACCGCCAUGAUGAACCCAUAACUCCUGAGGGCACAGGUCUUGGCUCGUCACUUCUCUUGGCUCCUUUGGGCCUGUGUUUGUAGUCUAGUUCGCUCUCAUGCCUUUCAAACACUGACACUGCUGUUUCUGUUUCCUCAGUACACACAAACACACACACACAAACGCAUACAUUCACCUAAAAAAAUCUCUUAUAUGUGUCUUUACUACAGUAGCGCUCGUGAAGAGAGGAAUCACUGCAGAAGAUAUCAUGUCAGUACUGGUCUCGGGCUUAAACAUGGUUCUAGCACUUUAGAUGGGGACUUGAACCCAAGUUGCUCUUAAACUACAUCUUCAUCCACUUUGACAUGUGACCUGAAUUAAUCUUUAUUAACAAACGAUGUUUGUUCAAUGUGUAUCGCCCACUGGCUGAUGCGGGGGGAUGGUAUGUUUAGUUUUUGCUCAAUGUCAGAUACAUAUACAGAAACGGACGUGGCUUUCUGUCUGCACUUUGCGUUCAUUUCAUCCGUUUUGGUGCACGUCUUCUGAAAGUUUACGGAUAUGGACGAAACAGAUGAAACGGAGCACUACCACCGGAAAUCGUGGGGAGGCACUGUAGCCAAUAGUUGAAGAGAUACGACCAGACAAGAGGAAGAAAUAUCAACAACUUUUUGAGGAGAGACUUUGCGAGUUGGUAAGUUACCACAUGAGGUUACUUCACCCAGGCACAUGGACAAACAGCCACUUUUGCCUCUGAGGUACACUAUCACAGCCCACUCCACCAUGGAUAUAUUUGUUGUUCUCAGAAACUCUCGACUCUGUGCUGCCCUCUAGCGGAUGUAUUGCAUAAUGACCAUGUCAAUGUAAAGAACGCAUGGAAGUAUGUAUGUGCGCAGUCUUACUUUAUUGUGAAACUCUUUUUGUUCUUAAAGGCAGCUUCCAUUAGAACCAACCAAUAAGUGACUAAUACCUAGAACUAAACAUAAUAAAUUCAAGGUGCAGUGUUAAACACAUUCAGCUUCAUGUAAAUUUGAAAAAACACCUAGACGGGUCAGUGUCAUAGAGUUUAAGAAUGAUGUAGGUGGCCUGGUAACUUUGUUUAAACAUCUGAUGUUUGCUUAAACCAUUAACGUGUCUCCAUGGCAACACAAAGUGCUUUCCUUGACAGAUAUUUGCAAAGUCAUGAGGCCGGUUAUGAGAGGUUUUCUCAGUCUGUAUUGCUGCUUCUGUUUAUUAGCUGUUGAAAACAUUGAGUCAUGUCCUAUUUUUAGAUUAUUUGCAACAAUAAUCAAUCUGCAUUCAAAUGUUGCUGUUAAACCUGAACUUGACUUAUUUUUUUUGGCCUCUGGGAAAUGAUUGCUGAUUUCUUGUAGUAUUUUGGGACUUUUAAAAUAAAUACAUUCAAACACCUAGUCACUGAAUCUGCAGCCCUACACUCAAGACUCGAGUCAUUUACAAAGACUGACGUCAAAGCACUAAAACAGCUUUGCUCCAGUACUUUUACCUCAUCACUUCCCUUCUUCAAUCCCUUUCUUUUCUUUUACACAUAUCUCAUUCUGCAUUCUUUCCAUCUUCCUCUUGCUUUCAAUUAUCCUCUACCCUUCAUCAUCCCCUCUUCCUCAUACCACCUUUCCCUGCUCACCCUCCCUCUGUUCUCCGUCUUCCCCUCGUCCUCCUCCUCUGCCUGCCUUCCCUCCUCCUCCUUUUCGCUGUCCUCUUCAGCCGUCCGGCUAAACUUAGAAGUGACAACAGUUGCAGGGUGACACCAAAGGCUAAAUAAGACCAGAACAAUAGCUUCUCCCCCCUCCUCCUCUCCUACUCUCACCCCCUUAUCUGCCCCUUUAAUAGACUGCCAUUGUUCUCUCCUUCCACUGUUGCUCUUUCAGGGAGUUUGUUAGCUAUGCUAAUGAAGGCUGGGCUUGUGUGGGUUUAGCGAGUGGGGAUUUGAUGCUCUUUAACUGGGCACUUUUAGAAAGGAGAAGCCAUCAUAAGGGUGGACCGGGCAGCUAUUUACCACCAGUCAAAUGUCACAGGCGCGAUGCAGCAGCACUUUCUUCUAUUUAGUAUCUUGCACAUUGAAACUGUCACAACCAGCAAAGAAAGAAGGAAUCGUCCAAGAUACUGUACCACUGGUCCUCGAAUGCACCACGUACUAUAUGUGUCAGCACGUCAGAGUCCUUGUAGAAAAAAAGAGUCGAGUAAGACAAGAUGUGGAGACUACAGUAGAGCAGUCAGUCAUCCAAUCAGUCAGUAAGUCUGUAAAUAGCCUGGCUCCUUUGAGCUUUCCUCUAAGAGGAAUUCUCUUUCUCCUUAGUGUAUUAAUAGUGCCUGUGCAUUGUUUCCUACAGCAGCACUACUGCAAUCAAAGGAAGUUGGCCUGCCAAGUAUACAAAUAUUUUCCUUUGUCCCUAUGUUUAGCAGGCAUGUAAGAGUCAGAAGUGUGUUCAUGGAGGUGGGUGCACGUGUGUGUGUCUCAGCCAACAAGUAUGUGCAUGCUCGUGGGCAUUAUGUCAGGUUGUAUGUUUAUUUAUAUGUGUAAUCUAAUAUGUACAGUGAUGCAUCCUUUAAUUGUUUGUGUGUGAGUGUGUCUGAAAGCCACUCGUGACCUGCGUGACCCUGUAUCUGAGAGGUCAUGUGCUUGGCUGGUUAUUGUUGUGUUGGUAUGCUGUCUGAUGAAAUACAUGCUAAUCUACUUCACAUGGGCAAGUGUUGUGUUCACAGGUAUGUAGGCAGGUGAUGUAGUGUCUGAAUCUCUCGCUGCUUUCAGACGUGCACUGAACUUCCAGAGGGGCUGUACGUGAGAACACAAAUUUUUGAGUCAGUUGCUCUGGACAUUUUCUGGAACUUUUCCUGCCAGGCCUCUAGUAUAAUGUUUGGAAAAU